UUCUAUACAGAGAUAAAAAGCGUGAGUUUUGUGGUGUGUUCUGGAAGCCUUCAUCGAGUGCAGUCGUGCAAACUGUUCAUUCUACUUUCGGUUUUGCUCUUAGAUAGAGACGCAUCGUCAAAGGCAGGUAUGAACUGUAUUGAUCAAGCUGUGAGAUAUAAAGGUUGGGCUUAAAGCAAAUAGGAGGGGUUUGGUUUUCACAGCUUUUGAAUUUUUGAUUUGUUGUAGCGUUUUGGAUUGUGAAUUUGGGUUUGUUUUGUGAAUAGGAGAGAUCCAAGAUUGUGGUAGCAUUUUGUUUUGUGAAUUUCGAUUUGGUUUCUAUCAGAACGAUUGGCAAGGGUGAAAAUUUGGGUUGUGAUUUUGUUUUUGAAAUUUGAUGUGUUUUUGAUUGAAUUGUUCAUAGGUUGAAUUUGCUUUCUUUAUUUUUAUAGUGUGCGCUAAGUCUAGAGGUUGUACGUAUUGAAGGGUGGUGAUUUAUCUGGGGACACCUACUGAAACUGGCAUAGCAGAUUAUUUACAAGCUCCAUUUGCUUUUGAUGAAGCUAACAGUUCAGCUAAUCUCUACUCUCUAGCUUGGUGCCCACUACUCCUCAAAUAAUCUAUUUCAGCAUUUUAGGUAUCUGAUGCAACAUGUGCCCCUUUCAGUUAAUUUGAUUAUGAUGCAGCCCAAUUUAAGUUUUUAUGACCGUCAUCAAAAAUACUCUUCAGGUUAAUUCAGUUCUCUCCCUUAAAUUGUUCACGUUGGUGUCAUUUGUUUAGAUAUGUUUAAAGUCCAUGACACUUCAGUGCAUACAUUUAAAAAUGUUUAAACAGAUACAGAAGUGCCCAUUUGAGUUCUUUGUCUAAUCGAAAGUAAAACUUGGUGUGUUUCAUAUCGUUGGUUCUUAUGCUUAAUCACUUAUGUUACAGAGCAAUUGAUUCCCUUCUUCAAAACAACCAAAAUCUAAGGAAAUGCUUAAAUAUUUUGACAUAGCUAUUUAUUCUCACCGAAUUCUGCUCCGGUUCCAAGUUAUCAGAAGAAGAGGCAGAGAAUAGAAAGAAGCACAAUCUGAUCCAGUGCUUGAGAGUCAAUCUAUACGUGGCAAAAGGGCUCAAAUGCCCAUGGGUUGAGAUGUCCAGUCCUUUAGGUAAUCAUAAUUUGAUUUUUUUUUUCCUGUGUCUAUUUCAUGU